rnacentral:rRNA from 1 species
GACGAGCCUCACAAACGUUAUUCGGAAUCACUGGGCUUAAAGGGUGCGUAGGCGGUGUGGAAAGUCGGAUGUGAAAUACCUCAGCUUAACUGAGGAACUGCACUCGAUACUUCCAUGCUAGAGUAAGACAGAGGUGAGUGGAACUGAGGGUGGAGCGGUGAAAUGCGUUGAUAUCCUCAGGAACACCGGUGGCGAAGGCGACUCACUGGGUCUUUACUGACGCUGAUGCACGAAAGCUAGGGUAGCAAAC